CUAUGCAAUAUUGCACGCAGCUAUGUUGGUCUGCCUGAGGCCUACCGCUACCCAACCACAUUCACUGUUACAGUUGGUCACUGAUAGGAGCAUAUUUAUGUGACUUAGUUAGCUUGUUUCUUGGCAUUUAUGUUGUUAGUUCGUGGUUAUUUUAGUAUUUUAAGCUAUUUUCGUGUGUUUGUAGGUCCAAAGGGUUAAUGUGGCAAAGAAGUGCAUUUUGAAGCAUUUUUGGAGCAUUUUUUGGCAUAUAAUGGAUAGCAUAUGCUUGGUGCAAAAGGAAUGGAUGAAAUUUGAAGUUUGUGCAUCGUCCUAUCCCUAUAAAUAACCAUUUUAGCACACUCAUUUCACCAAUACAUCCACUCAUUACCAAACACUCACCCACUACACCCAUUACAUCCACUCAUUACCACAACACUCACCCACUACACCCAUUACAUCCACUCAUGACCAAACAUCCAUCCACUACACCCAUUACAUCCACUCAUUAUCCACUACACCCAUUACAUCCACUCAUUACCAAACACUCACCCACUACACCCAUUACAUCCACUCAUUACCAAACAUUCACCCACUACACCCAAUACAUCCACUCAUUACCACAACAUACACCACUACCACCUUAAUUAGAUAGUGGUCCUCUCCCUAGCCUAUAAAUACAUCCAACCUUCACCAUAACAAGAGGAUGGGAGAUUCAUCCAAAGACACAUUCACACGGACAAUUUAGGGAGAAGGGAGGAAGACACAUUUUACCGCAAGGCAGAGUCUUUUCUUCUUAACCACUCUACACAUUCCCACAACAAAAACACAAUUUCAUGCACCUUCAUUUCCCUUUCCUUGCCGUGACCUCCAUCUAACCUAAACACAUUCAGCCAUUCCCUUCCAUAUAUCCAUACGCAUCCAUCAAACCACACCUUGUGCCGCAACAAAGAGAAGAAUGAGGACCCUUGGACGUGCUUGCCAUUCAAGUUGGAUUGUUGGAGCGUUUUUAGGUGUUUUCAUUCUUUUGUUUUCAAUGUCUAAAUUUGUUUAUCUUUGCUUUGUGAGUAUGAGGAACUAAACCCCCCUUAGCUAGGGGGAAUUCGAAACCAUGUUCAUGCUUGCAAUAUGAUUUGAUUACUUUCAGUUGUGAUUCAUAAGUUGUGAAUUCAAUUUACUUAUCCAUUUGAAUUAAAACUUAUUUAUGUGUGUUGGUUGAGAGUGCACGCUUAAUUUUCAUGCAUAAAUCUGAUGCUAGGAUAUAAGGGAGUUUCACCUAAUCGUUAUGAACUUAUAUUCACAAGUAGUGAAGGUUGCUCGUCACAACCGUGUUAAGUAAAUUCUUGGCAUAAGUUUCAUGCAAUUCAUAGUUACAAGUGUUUCGUCAAUGCUUUUGAUUUUCAUAGAACUUAAUGAUUCUUGCUUGUAUCUCUAUUAUGCAAUUCAUGUAUGGAACUUGUGGGGAAUGCUUUGGGUUGUUGUAUGCAAUCAUCCAAUUAAAUGAAAUUUGGAAAAUCUGAGGGUUAAUUAGUGCAAUUCACAGUUAAUCUGGGGCGUUGAGAAUUCGUAGUUUAUUGAAAAGCAACUGGAAAUCGUUUUGUUUGCAAGUGUGUCAUGUGUGGAGAAGAGCCUCCUAGCUAGCCUUCCAUCCAUUCAAUUUACUCAAAUUCGUGCAGAUUUCAUUAGUUCUUUAAUUUAUUUGUUUUGUUUUCAAAUUCUUCAAAACCAAAACCCCCUUUACCUUGUGAAGUCAUAUUAGUUAGAAACUGAUUUAGUUUGUGUUUUUAAGUGUUUCGAACCAAGUUAAAACCAAAAUUCGUCCAAAAGUGUGUUUAGAGUCCAAAUCUGCCCGUUUGUGUUUUUAGGUAGAUUUGAGCGUUUUUAGCUUGUUUUGAGUCUUUUGAGUUUAUUUUGAGUUCUUUGAGUCUAGUUUAGUGUUUUUAACUUUGUUUAUAUGUUUUAAGUCAGUUUAGAGGUUAUUAGCAAGCCCUCCUAAUCCCCGGUUCAAAACGAUCCCUACUUACAUUCUUUACUACAAUUGAUACAAGAGGGUUUAAUUUGUGUGGUAAGUUAAUUUUCGCACCAAAUUUUUGGCGCCGUUGCCGGGGAUUAGCAACUUUGCUAAUCUCUUGUUAUUUCUUUUUGUAUAUAUUUGUGUCUUUUGUUUUUAGUUACUGAUUUUGUUUCUGUUUGUGUUUUUUUUUUUUUUUUUUUUUUUUUGUUUUACUUUUGAUAUUUGAUUUAGUUUUGUUUCCUUGAUUUCAGGUACUAGAGAAGUAAGACAUGGAUUUUGCUACCAUUCAAGCUCAAUUAGGGAAACUUACUUCUCAAUUGUCACAAUAUCCCGAAAGGACCACAAUGCAAAGUGUCCCUACAUAUGGUGUGUCCUAUGGGCAAGGAUAUCCAACUCAUCAAUGUUCUCAAUUCGCUGCGAAUGAAGAUGCUUGGGGUUAUCAAGGCCAUAGUCAAUCAUGGGACAACAUGUUUUCUAACACUUACAAUUCGGAUUGGAGAGAUUAUUCAGAUUACAUGUGGGGAGAACCUCAACAAUUCCAACAAGAUGGAUAUUGGCAGCAAGAAGAGGAGUUCUAUUCAAGACCUAUGCAGCCACCACAACCUCCUCGACAACAAUUCCAAUCAAAUUCAAGUAUGCCUAUGAGUUAUGAUGAAAUUCUUGAUGUACUAACCUCGUUGACGCAGGGCUUACAACAAGAAGAAUAUUUUCCGCCAUCGGAUGAGUUCUAUCACUAGCCAUGUGAACCAUCACAGCUACCACAACAAUCUGCCCAAUUCAAUUCAGGUACGUCUUUGGAUAAUGAAAUGUUUAAUAAGUUACUCACCUCUUUGAACCAGGAAGUAGAAAAUCGAAACAGAGAGAUGCAAAAUCAAGCAAAGAAGACGGGUGAAUUGGAGAAGCAAAUUGGGCAGAUUAUGAAGUUCAUGGCACAAAUUCAAGAGUAAAGUGAACUCUCCAACUCAACUAUAGAAAAUUUGAAGGAAGAUUUUGAAAUCCAUGAUGCUAUCACUUUGGGAAGUGCUAUGGAGGUUGCAGAUGAACCCAAGACAUCCAAACCAAGCCAAAACAUGGAUGAACAGUUGCUGCUCGAAGAAGAGGAGAAUAACAAGGCCACGGCAAGGAAAGAACCACCCUUGACACAGCCCCAUAUACCCUCUAUGCUAUCCACUACAACCAAGGUAAGCCUAAAUUCAAUUUGUCCUGACCCCGUUUCACCAAAUAUCCUUAUUCCUUGCAGGAUCAUGCAAUCCAAGGAAGAAGAGGGUGAGAAAGGCUUAUUCGAAACCUUUCCAAAGAAUCAAGAGCAAGAAGUGGAUGAGGAAUGUCUAGAAUUCAUCAAAGAAGAUACACUUGAGACAAAUAUUCCCAAAGAAGUUGGAUUUUAUGACACGGGAAAAGUCAUAACUCACAAAACAUCAAAUCUGGCCAAGUCCCAUAUCCCUGAUAUGGUGUUCGUAAUUGAGUUCAUGUUGGAGCAAGCAAGUAAGCCAUUUUCUCCAACUUCGAUUUUAUUAUAUACUAACUUUCUGAUUUUGAUGAUUCAGGCACCUACACUAGAAUUUAAACCAUUGUCGGAUCACGUCAAGUAUCACCUUCCAUUCAAGGAUCAAUUCCAUGCUAUGGGCCCUAUCCAAGUUUAGAAGGAAGUUUCAUCGGGCUCGAAGACGUUAAAGCAAGCGCUUCUUGGGAGGCAACCCAUGUAUUCAAAUGAGGAAGAUUUUUGAAUCGCUCCACAAUCAGUUUUACGUUUCUAAAAACCUUCCAUUUUCUACAGUUAUUUUGCCAUGAUUGUCCUAUUUAUUUGUUGCUUGUUUAAUUAUUUUUGGUGCGGGUAUAUUUUUGAAACAUUGACAGAUAUGCAAGGUCUUUUGACAUUCAUUUUCAUGAAAAACGAACAUUAAGCAGAAAAUACAAGAGGAAGCCUUCAGAAAGGCUGCUUAGGAGAAGUCUCAGUAGUCGGUGGAGCCUCAGCAGUCGGCGGAGCCCCAGAAGGAGGAGCCACCGGAGGCUGAUCAUUUAGAGCUUCAUUACGCGGUACAGCCCCAGAAGACGAAGGCAAAUGCUGUUGGAACAAACCCACAAACAUCUGAUGAUCAAGUAAAAUCUGACCAUCAAAUUCCUGCAUCUGGUCAAUCUUCCUCUUCAUGUUUAUAGCAUAGUUAUGUGCGAGCUUGUGCAACUAUUUAUUCUCAUGCUUGAGCCCUCUAAUCUACUGUUUGAGACUCAUCACUUCAGCCGUCAAUGAUUCAACUUGACGGGUUCGAGCAAAUAGGCGUUGGACCAUAUUAGACAUAGAACCUGCACACUGCACACUGAGAGCCAGAGAAUCCUUAACAGCCAACUCAUCAGAAUGUUUGGAAAGCAGUCUGUUAUCUUUGGGAGUGACAAGGUUCCGAGCCACCACCGCAGCGGUCAUAUCAUUUUUCAUCACCGAAUCCCCAACAGUAAGAGGACCAGUAGGGGAUAUGAAGGAUGAGCGCCAUAUGUUGCUUGGAGAAGGCAUGGUUGCCUCUUCACCAAGGUUCAAGUCAAAACGAUGGUCGAAAUGGCCAGAAAUGUUCAAAGGUGUUGAAAAAAGAAGAGGUCUGACAAGUCAAGAUCGUAGAAGUGCAAGAAGGGAGUUUCUACAGGUAAAAAUUCAAGUGUGCUUUGAAACGUACUGCAUGCCUCUAUAAAAACCAGCACUCGAUGUGAUUUUAGAGAUCGAAUAGGCGAGCUUACAAACCGAAGAGGCCAAUUCAAAAAUCGAAAAGGCGCUAGCUUUCUUAAAAGCUGGGCAUGCUCAGAAACCACGGGCCAAUCUUCUUUUCCAGAUUUGUCCGCACUUGUCACAUGCAACCUCUGCACUCGACGAAGCUCAGAACACGAAGAGGCGAUCUCAGAACUCAAAGAGGCAAGCUCAGAAAUCGGAGAGGCAUCUGCUUUUCCAGAUGUGUCAGCAUAUGUUACAUGCACACUCAGCUUUGCGGAAAUCACAAGCAGUUUGUCGAAGCACCGAUUCCAGAUAUCGAAGAGGCACUUGCUUUUCCAGACGUGUCAGCGCCUGUCACAUGCACACUCAGCUUUGCGGAAAUCACGGGCAGUUUGUCGAAGUGCCGAUUCCAGAUAUCGAAGAGGCACUUGCUUUUCCAGUCGUGUCAGCGCCUGUCACAUGCACACUCAGCCUUACGGAAAUUACGGGUAAUCUGUCGAAGAUUUCUUGUGAAGUAGAAGACACGUGAAGUUUACUGUUAAAUCAUCCAACGGUUGCCGACAAGAGUGAAAGAAUAGUACCGGUUAUUAAUUCCUAUAAAUGUCAACCUUCACCCUCCAUUGCAACGCAUACAUACGUAACCUUUCUUCAUCUCCGAAAAUGCCUUCCCAACGAAGCCUUUCGAGUCACUCAGUGUUCCUUAUUCCUUGGGGUACCUCUGUAAACAACUCAUCCAAAGUAAAAGUAUUUCAUAUCAUGAAGGUUGAAAACAAGAGUAUCUCAUAUCAUGCUUUCUCCCUGCCCUUCUCAUUGUCGUUGUUUUCAUCUGCGGGACAAGGAGAAAGAGAGCAAUCAGCCAGCACUUGGUAUCAAUCUUCCGAUCUGGAACCGACUGUCUGGAACCCCUUCCUGAUUGCUUACCUAGCCUUGCUCUCGAGUACUCAUCUUCAACAUCUUAUGCUUCCUCUUCGUCUACCACAUCUGCCUGGGGAACAGAUAAGGGAAGUGAAAAUGAUACCUCGAAGCAUGUAGAGACAAUAUGCUAAUUCAUCCUCAGCUAAGGACAAGGAGAAAUAAAGCAAGAGGUGGGCACUUGGAAAGAUUGAAGAAAGAAAUAGACCAUCACCCCUACCUCGUGCCUGCCUGCCGUGCACAAGAAACAAGCAGAGAAGAAUGCAGACUGCACAAUUAAAUCAACCCAGCAGAAAGAGUCUGAUUUGAAACCAAGGAACUUUCGCUCAGAAUUCCGAACCAGUUCGAGAUCAAAGCUGUGGAAAGUCGCCAAGAUCAUCUAUCUCCAAAACCAUAUUUGCGUUCUUAAACUCGACUCUGUCUGGUUUUUACUUUGCCAUACUUGUCAUGUUUAUUCGUUAUUUGUUUGAUUGUUUGCUUGUGUUUGUGUGAGUUUAUGCUUGAAACAUUGAGGACAAUGUUCGAUUUAAGUGUAGAGGGCUAACCAAGUUGUUUUGCAUGAAAUUCGUGGGAGUUAUCACCCAUUACUUCUAGUGUUGUUCCUUGCUGGUUUUAAGUGUUUUUAUGCUGUUUUGGAGUGUUUUAAUGUGUUUUGAUAUAAAAAUCCGAAAAUCUCAUAAAAAUUUGAAAAAUUGUUUUGAAAAACCCAAAAAGAGUUGUUUUUGUGUGUUUGUUUGUGUCUUAGGGUACCUUCCAACACAAUGAUGAGGAUUUGGUUUUUAAUUACAUGACCGUUAAAGAGAGUUAUAAACAUGGAUGAAAAUUUUGAUUUACUCUUUGUUGUAUGUUUGGUUGUGGUUAUAAUUUAUGAAUUCACAUGCAAUCAUAAAGGAAAAAUCAGUUUUUAUAACAUGCUUGAAAGAAGGAACUCAAAUGAAUGCUACAACCUUGUGAUACUUGAGCCUAAACGUUUAUUUGGAGAGUUAAUAAUCUGUGCAUCAUUGUUUUCUAAAGUCGUUGCAUGAUCUCAUUAUUCUUUGCUUGGUUGCUACUUAGAAGGCGUUUCAUCAUUUAGUUCCAAAUGCUAGAACUCAUGCCUAUUUCAUUCAAAGCAUGUUAUUGAUUUGCAUAACACAUAUUCAAGAUGAAGUUGUGUAGUGACCACCAAAGCCAAAUUGCCAUGCCCCUAUUUCAUUAUAUGUUUAAGUUUAACCCCGUUGUGCCUUGUUAAGCCUAUGUUCUUUGUUAACCCACACUAUCCUUACCUAGCCUAGUGUUAGGACCAUCCAUACCCUUGUUCUUGAAGCAUAGUAAAGCAUGACUUAAAAUGAACUCCUUUUUUAUCAAUGUAUUGCAGAAAGCAAGUGUUGGGAAAGUGAUUCUUGUGUGUGUGUGUGUGUGUGUGUGCGCGCGCGCCAAAGUCUUUAAUAAGGCAAGGGUAGAAAAGAAAAAAAAAAUUGAAAAAAAAGAAGUAUGAAAAAUUGCUCUAAAGUGUUUUUUGUUAAAGAAAGGGUUCAAAACAUUGAAUUUGACCCUAAGUGUUGCAUAAAUCUUCUCUUUGUAAUUAAAAGUUGAUUCUGCAUUCUAAAGUGAUUUCCAAGUGUCUAUUUCAUUGCUUUGCUUGCUAUCGCUUUAAGAACGUUUGUUAUCCCUAUCCUUUCUUUGUUAGCCAUUACCCCAGCGCCCUGUUACAACCCUUGACUUCAAUCUUGAGUGUUGUAUGUUUCAAUUUGUGGAGUUCUAAAUUGGUAUGAGCAUAUGGUGUCACUGGUUCUCGCAUCUAAGUAGUAGCAUUCCAUUCAUGAGAUCAUAUCUAAACAUGCUUAAUAACUCCAAAAAAUUGCUUUCUUUGUUAUAACAUAUGUGAGUCCUAAUCUUUCAUGUUUACAUCAAUCUUCUCACAUAUACUAGUGUAGGGUGUGUAGUCAGAAAAUGUGUGUGACAAUAGAGAGUAUCUUGUAAGGAAUUGAGCAAAUUCUCUAAGGCAUGUUACUACACUCAAAACAUCGUUUUAAUUAGUUAAUUGUGAACUAGUAAGUGGUGACUAUGAUUAAGUAUGUGCUCAAGUGUAAGGAUGACCAAAAUCUAUGGGAAUGAUGAUUUUUAACACGUCAUGUUUCAUUAAAAAUCCCUGAGGCAAUUGUUGGAAGGUCUAGGUUUUGUUUUGUUUUGUUUUGUUUGUUUUGUUUUGCUCGAGGACUAGCAAAAGCUAAGUGUGGGGGAAUUUGAUAGGAGCAUAUUUAUGUGACUUAGUUAGCUUGUUUCUUGGCAUUUAUGUUGUUAGUUCAUAGUUAUUUUAGUAUUUUAAGCUAUUUCGUUUGUUUGUAGGUCCAAAGGGUUAAUGUGGCAAAGAAAUGCAUUUGGGAGCAUUUUGGAGCAUUUUUGGGCAUGGAAUGGACAACAUAUGCUUGGAGCAAACGGAAUGGAUGAAAUUUAAAGUUUGGGCAUCAUCCUCUCCCUAUAAAUAAUCAUUUUAGCACACUCAUUUCACCCAAUACAUUCACUCAUUACCAAACACUCACCCACUACACCCAUUACAUCCACUCAUUACCACAACACUCACCCACUACACCCAUUACAUCCACUCAUUAACAAACAUCCAUCCACUACACUCAUUACAUCCACUCAUUAUCCACUACACCAAUUACAUCCACCCAUUACAUCCACUCAUUACCAAACACUCACCCACUACACCCAUUACAUCCACUCAUUACCAAACAUUCACCCACUACACCCAUUACAUCCACUCCACUCAUUACCAAACAUCCAUCCACUACACCCAUUACAUCCACUCAUUACCAAACAUUCACCCACUACACCCAUUAAAUCCACUUAUUACCACAACAUACACCACUACCACCUUAAUUAGAUGGUGGUCCUCUCCCUAACCUAUAAAUACAUCCACCCUUCACCAUAACAAGUGGAGGGGAGAUCCAUCCAAAGACACAUUCACACGGACAGUUUAGGGAGAAGGGAGGAAGACACAUUCUGCCGCAAGGCAGAGUCUUUUCUUCUUAACCAUUAUACACGUUCCCACAACAAAAACACAAUUUCAUGCACCUUCAUUUCCCUUUCCUUGCCGUGAACUCCAUCCAACCUAAACACAUUCAGCCAUUCCCUUUCAUAUAUCCAUACGCAUCCAUCAAACCACACCUUGUGCCGCAACAAAGAGAAGAAGGAGGACCCUUGGACAUGCUUGCCAUUCAAGUUGGAUUGUUGGAGCGUUUUUAGGUGUUUUCAUUCUUUUGUUUUCAAUGUCUAAAUUUGUUUAUCUUUGCUUUGUGAGUAUGAGGAACUAAACC
rnacentral:lncRNA from 1 species